CUGAUGGAGGGGGAAACUACUGGAAACGGUAGCUAAUACCGCAUAACGUCGCAAGACCAAAGAGGGGGACCUUCGGGCCUCUNUGCCAUCGGAAAUGUGCCCAGAAUGGGAUUAGCNUAGUAGGUGGGGUAACGGCUCACCUAGGCGACGAUCCCUAGCUGGUCUGAGAGGAUGACCAGCCACACUGGAACUGAGACACGGUCCAGACUCCUACGGGAGGCAGCAGUGGGGAAUAUUGCACAAUGGGCGCAAGCCUGAUGCAGCCAUGCCGCGUGUAUGAAGAAGGCCUUCGGGUUGUAAAGUACUUUCAGCGGGGAGGAAGGGAGUAAAGUUAAUACCUUUGCUCAUUGACGUUACCCGCAGAAGAAGCACCGGCUAACUCCGUGCCAGCAGCCGCGGUAAUACGGAGGGUGCAAGCGUUAAUCGGAAUUACUGGGCGUAAAGCGCACGCAGGCGGUUUGUUAAGUCAGAUGUGAAAUCCCCGGGCUCAACCUGGGAACUGCAUCUGAUACUGGCAAGCUUGAGUCUCGUAGAGGGGGGUAGAAUUCCAGGUGUAGCGGUGAAAUGCGUAGAGAUCUGGAG
rnacentral:rRNA from 1 species